rnacentral:rRNA from 1 species
GAUGAACGCUGGCGGCGUGCCUAAUACAUGCCAGUCGAGCGAACGGACGAGAAGUUUGCUUCUCUGAUGUUAGCGGCGGACGGGUGAGUAACACGUGGAUAACCUACCUAUAAGACUGGGAAAACUUCGGGAAACCGGAGCUAAUACCGGAUAAUAUUUUGAACCGCAUGGUUCAAAAGUGAAAGACGGUCUUGCUGUCACUUAUAGAUGGAUCUGCGCUGCAUUAGCUAGUUGGUAAGGUAACGGCUUACCAAGGCAACGAUGCAUAGCCGACCUGAGAGGGUGGUCGGCCACACUGGAACUGAGACACGGUCCAGACUCCUACGGGAGGCAGCAGUAGGGAAUCUUCCGCAGUGGGCGAGAGCCUGACGGAGCAACGCCGCGUGAGUGAUGAAGGUCUUCGGAUCGUAAAACUCUGUUAUUAGGGAAGAACAUAUGUGUAAGUAACUGUGCACAUCUUGACGGUACCUAAUCAGAAAGCCACGGCUAACUACGUG